CUCGAAAGAGCAGCUAAUACCGCAUACGACCUGAGGGUGGAAAGGGGGGAGUCGCAAGACCUCUCGUUAUUGGAGCGGCCGAUAUCAGAUUAGCUAGUUGGUGGGGUAAAGGCCUACCAAGGCAACGAUCUGUAGUUGGUCUGAGAGGACGACCAGCCACACUGGGACUGAGACACGGCCCAGACUCCUACGGGAGGCAGCAGUGGGGAAUUUUGGACAAUGGGCGCAAGCCUGAUCCAGCAAUGCCGCGUGCAGGAAGAAGGCCUUCGGGUUGUAAACUGCUUUUGUCAGGGAAGAAAUCCUCUAGGUUAAUACCCUUGGGGGGAUGACGGUACCUGAAGAAUAAGCACCGGCUAACUACGUGCCAGCAGCCGCGGUAAUACGUAGGGUGCAAGCGUUAAUCGGAAUUACUGGGCGUAAAGCGUGCGCAGGCGGCUUUGCAAGACAGAUGUGAAAUCCCCGGGGCUCAACCUGGGAACUGCAUUUGUGACUGCAAGGCUAGAGUACGGUAGAGGGG
rnacentral:rRNA from 1 species